GUGGGGAAUAUUGCACAAUGGGCGAAAGCCUGAUGCAGCAACGCCGCGUGAAGGAUGAAGGCCUUUGGGUCGUAAACUUCUGUCCUUGGGGAAGAAAAAAAUGACGGUACCCCUGGAGGAAGUCCCGGCUAACUACGUGCCAGCAGCCGCGGUAAUACGUAGGGGGCGAGCGUUAUCCGGAAUUAUUGGGCGUAAAGAGUACGUAGGUGGUUUUUUAAGCGCAGGGUUUAAGGCGAUGGCUCAACUGUCGUUCGCCCUGUGAACUGGAAGACUUGAGUACAGGAGAGGAAAGCGGAAUUCCCGGUGUAGCGGUGAAAUGCGUAGAGAUCGGGAGGAACACCAGUGGCGAAGGCGGCUUACUGGACUGUAACUGACGCUGAGGCGCGAAAGUGUGGGGAGCAAACAGGAUUAGAUACCCUUGUAGUCC
rnacentral:rRNA from 1 species